GAGGGUAUAGCUCAGUGGUAGAGUGUGUACUUAGCACGCACGAAGUCCUGGGUUCAAUCCCCUGUCCUUCCA
rfam:Camelus ferus unplaced genomic scaffold scaffold451, whole genome shotgun sequence.